GCUGUGAAUCCAUCUGGUCCUAGAAUUUUUUUGGUUGGUAAUAAGCUCUUAUAUUUGUAAUGCAUAUUAGUCCUUUUAAAAAUGCCCUUCACCUCCUACUUUUUGUGGUAAACACCAUCAUAUUCUUAAAGACCCCUCCCAAAUCUCGCAUUCUUUAUAAGGCCUUCUCUGUGAGUUGCAGGUGGUUUUUCAACCUGUCCCAUAUAUUCCCAUAUAAUCACCCCUAUAAGGGAGCCAUCACCCUACAAGAUAAUUAUUUGUUUAUGUGCCUGGCUCCUCCACUAAAGCUACUUCUGAAUAUGGGCUGCAUCUUAUCCAUCUUUGUGCUUCUGACCUCCACCACCAACAAACAAGGCAUAGCAGACAGCCUGGUAUUGAGUAGCAUGCCAUACACAUCUGUAGACUGAAAAGCAAUUUAGCACGUGUACAAGUUGGGCUCUCCAAGAAGCAGACCUGGAGAGAGAUCCUAGUACAUAGGUAUUUAUUAAGGUGUGCCUUUGAGACCAGUACCUGUGGAUGGGAAGAAUAGAAAUCAGGAGUGGGCAGAGGGAAAAGUUAAGCUGUGAUGUAGGCCCAGUGACAAGCCACUGACACUUCUAUGGGGAGCUGUAAAUAGACCUUUGGCAUUGUCCCAAGUUGGGCCAAUAUGGCCAGGCCUUUACAGGCUCACACAUCAUUUAUUGCUUGUGGGCCACUCCAGGAAGGUGCAUGACUUUGGGUAAGGAGGCUCUCUGGAGCUGAGGUAAUCCCUGAAAGGACUAACAGCUGAAGAUUGUCUGCUGAGAAUACUGCCGAAGACUAAGGCAACAAAUUCUUCCACAUACAGGAUCUGGAUGGCACAUCACAGUGCCCAAAAUAAAGGCUGAACUUAUUUAGUUAUAAUCUGAUCAGUUAGGAAUUGCAAUCAGCUGAGAGUGAGAGAGUCUCCACAACAGUGAUGCAAACUCAUCACAGGCUUUUUCUUUUAACAGGAAUUCCGGAGCAAGGAAGUUAUUGGCAUUCGUUUAGUGUACCACAAUGCUAGGGCUGAGGCCUCCGGGAUCCUCUGGGCCUUUUUCAUGGUUGAAAAAUGACAGUGGCAGCUUCAUUCCUUGUGCCCAGUUCCAGAGAGGAGGAAUGAGAAAGGAGCAAGAAGAAAAGGCUGACAUCUAUGGGAAGCCAAACUUUUUCAGGAAUCCCCUGCUCAGGUUUGCUCAGGCUUGUUUGACAUCUUACUGGUAAGAGCACCAUUGCAUGGCCAGCCCUAGAUUCAAGGGAGGCUGAAAACUGUAAUUUUACAGCUGAAUACUACUGCCUCUCUCUCAUAUGCCCUCAAUGCAGAAUUCUUUCAGUGAAAAAAUAAACAAUGGAAUCGGGUAGGCACUAGAAAUUUCUGCUACAUAAACUCAGGCUGAAGAAUCCAGGUUCAAAAGAAAAAUAAGUGACAUGUAAAAAGAUCAGAUAACAUGGAAACAGGGAAGAUUCAUAAGGUAAUUGCUGUUGUGUAAAGUGACUAUUUCUCACUUAGCACAGCAAAAUUACGCGAAUUAAUAAAGUCUGCCAGAGGAGAUUAAGGAAAGACAAAGGCAUACAACCUGACACAACAGAGAACACGUUGCUGGGACAAAGAAUCAAAGUCAUCUUAAAUUAAAGAGGGCACAGAAGAGAAUAACAGAGAAAAGGCCAAAACAGGAAUAAGACACCACCUGGCAUUAAAACAAAACACCAAGCAUAAAACACAAAGACUGCAACUACUAGUGAGCAGCAGUCCUUAGAAAUUCAGGUGAGAAGUCAAAAAGGCAGCUGGUGGGGCUGCAAGUGUGUUAAAAGUUUGUUGCCAGUGUUCAUAAAAGAAGUUAAAGGUUACAUUUUGAAGAUAGAAAUAGGUUUCCCUAAUGUGGGGAAAGAGGUGUAAAGAGGGCUGUGACACACAGGAGGAACUGCCUUCCCUCACCCGCUCUUUGGGGCACAGCUGUUCGGAGCAGGUCAGAAAAGCUAAGUUGACAAAAAACAUCAGGAGGUGAUAAAGUGAGAACCCUGGAUCCAGAAUGCAGCAAACAAAGAAUGAACAAAAAGUUAAACAGAUUUUAAGAAUUAGAUAAGAAUUAAAUCAAGGUAUAGCCAAAGAGUGGCCAAUAUUAAUUCUAUGAUUAAGAAGGAAAGGACACAGAGGCAAUGUUGAAUGAGCCACUGUGAAUUUUAACUCCAGUCCUGAAGGAAGGCAUGCGGGUGGGGGGUCUCCUUGAGAGGUCAAUUCGUCCAGCCCUCCAUGCAAAUGCCAGUCCCUUGUGUUCUCAGAAAAUGCUAGUAACUUUCCUACCACAACUGCCUUUGAUAGUUUAAUUAUCCCUCAUACUAUAAUUUUUAUUUGAGGGAGGUAGGGCACAUGCAAUGGACAGGAUAUUGAAUAUUCUGCCAAGGGUGCUGAGUUUUAAUUCUGGUUCUGCCACUAACCAAUUUUACAGCCUUGGAAAAAUAACAUCCUCUCUUUUGACCGCAUUUCCUCAUCUGUAAAAUGAAAGAGAUGAACCAUCUCUCUCUUGGUCCUCUUCAUCCUCUACGUUGAUGGAUAAUGAAUGAUGUGUUUUCCUCACAAUAAUCCUUCAUAAGACAGAUCUCAACAAUAACUCACCAGAAUGACACUUUACCUAAUAAUUGCUGUUUGAGAAAUGGACAACCCUAGUUCCUUCAAUCUUUAAUUUUUCUGCAUUUCUACCCAUAAAAUAUAGUAGUAAUGAUAUUCUAAUAAUGAAAACUGCCAAAAAUACAGGAUUUAACAACUUGUAAAGUUUAUUUGUAUAAAUCUUCUCACUUGAUAGUCACAAUAUUCAGAUGAUGGAGGUAGCAAAGAUUUGUUAAUUGUCCCCUGAUGUCAUUUCUUUUGUCUUAAAUAGGUCCCUCAUUUUUUAUCUUGACCCAUGGCCACCUGAAGUAAAGCCUAUCUUUCCCAGCCCCCUACCACAGUUAGGCGUGACACCUCUCUACGUUCUGGCAGAAGCACCGUUACAAUUUUCAGAAAGGCCCUUAAAGAGAGGCAGGCAUGCAUAUCUUUCCUCCUUCCUUUUUCUUUCUGGCUGAAAUGCAGACUGACACGUGGAGCUCAUGUAGAUCUUGAACCACAGGGUAGAACUGCACGUGGAGAAUGGCGAAGCAAAAGGAUAAAGAACCUUGAUUCCUAGUGACUCCAUGCAUCUGCUUUAGCAGGCUCUGGAAUUCUUUAAUAUGUGAAAAAAAUAAAUUUAUGUUUGGUUUCAAUAACUAAUGCUUUUAUUUACUUCACUUGCAGCCCAAAUAAAUUCUAACUGACACAAUUAUAGAAAUUAUUACUUUUAUUUUACAGAUUUAAUAAUUUGCUGAAAAUUUCAAUGGGGCUAAAAUUUGAACAUAGGGCACUUCUGACACCUAAGCCCAACACACUUCCUACUUCUCUCUAAAUAGAUAAUAGUAACCAUUGGCAGGUGUAAGCUGAAAGACAAACCCUAAUGGAACAUCCAUCAGUGAUUAGAACAUCGCAGGAGUAGCUCAUGUUGUCCUCCACAUAGAAAAACAUUCCUAUGACAAAUUAGAGUGAACGACCGUCUCUUUAGAAUUGAGUAGAUAUUGGACACCACCUCUGUAAAGGACUCAUAUUCUCCCCAAAGUAUCUAAGUAAGAACUAGGAGGAAAUCAGAAUGCAGUAUCAGAAAUGUUAGGCAAAUGAUCAAAAAGUACCACGUUACCAAGGUUGCUGUGAGGUGCAUUUCAAAGCCUUUAAGAAAUAAGCCAAGACUUCAAGGGGAAUUUUUUAGGAAAUAGAAAAAGAAGUCCUUAUUUCUCCUCCCACACCCCAUUCUCUCAACCCCUCCAUAUCAGCUCUAGUUCUUUUGGUUUUUGUCUGUUUUCAUUUUUUUAAACACCUGGACAAAUCUUAUCACUUCCAGAAAAUGAAGGGAUGGGGAACUCAACCUUGCUUCUCACUGUGCUGAGUGAGCCCCCAGACUCCACAUUGUUGGCUUAGCUUGUAGUGUUGUGCUCUGACAGCCCUUAGCAGCUGAAGCAUAAAGAAUAGAAAUAAUAUUUCAGGAUUUUAUUAGGACUAUUAAUUUUUUUCUCUUGUAGAUAAAACUCUUCAAUAUUUCUAACAGUAAUACUAUUAUCUUAGUAUAUGAAUGGCACCUAUGAUGCUCAAAACAGCUGUGAUAGCCCAUUCACUAUGAACAGCAGAGAUGGCUGAAGCCCAUUAGUUAGCUCAGCUUUUCAUAACUUAAGAAAAACCUGCCAGCCAUGUAUCCCUCACUUCUACAUAUUUUAUAAUAAUGGAACAUUUUUAGAUAAAAUCAUAAAUAAAAGAUGCUGCUGAGUUUUUGAACAAUGCAUUAUAUGUUUUGUAUUUUAUUUUGACUUUAUUUUUUCACAGCACAAUCAUAACUACAUAGAUGAUUACAGUUGUAUGUUCGGAGAAAAAGAGGAGAGAGAAGACUAAGACUCAUAGGAAAGAAUCCUGCUUUUAUUAAUCAUUCAUACAUAUUUUCAUUUAUGUUUUGAAAGCCAACAACAUACCAGGCUGUCUGUUUGGCACUUAAUAUCUUCAGUCUGACCGAUACCAACUUCGGUUUUCUUGUGGAAAAAAUAAGGAUGUGCUCCUCCUGGGCAUUCAGAAUCCAGCAGGAACACUAUCGCCUCUAUGAACCCCAUACCAGCCCAGGCUAAGUAAGAUGCUGUGGUAGAUUACAUUUUCCAAAGAUGGCUACACCAAGAUAUAUCCUGCCCCACAUAUCCUUCUUAUACCAUGACACUGACACGUCUCCAUCAAGAGAUGAGAUCCUUGUUCCCCUACCUUGACCUGGGUGGACCUUUGUAACUGCCUCAAACAACAGUGUGACAGAAGUGCAUGACCUCUCAGAUGUAUUUGUCGGGGUUUUCCAGAGAAACAGAAUCAAUAGGAUGUAUGCGUGUGUAUGCAUGUGUGUGCGUGUGUGUGUGUGUAGAGAGAGAGAGAGAAACAGAGAGAAAGAAGGAGAGAGAGAGAGAUUUAUUAUAAGGAAUUAGCUCACAUGAUUAUGGAGACUGGCAGUUCACAAGAUUUGCAAGGGUGAGUCAGUGAAGCUAGAGACCCAGGAGAGCCAAUGGUAUAGGUUCAGUCUGACGACCAGCUGGUCCAAGAACCAGGAGGACUCAAUGUUUCAGUUCAAGUCCAAAGGCAGGAUAAAGCUUAUGUCCCAGUUUGAAGGCAGUUAGGCAGGAGAAAUUCUCUUUUACCUGGGUGAGGGUCAGCCUGUUUGUUCUACUCAGAACUUCAGCUGUUGGAUAAGGUCCACCCACUUUAGGAAGGGCAGUCUGCUUUACUCAGUCUACCAACUUAAAUGUUAAUCUCAUCCAAAAAUACUCUUCUAGAAAUAAUCAGUCACCCUGUGACCUAGUCAAGUUGACACAUAAAAUUGAACAUCACGUAAGACUAAGUAUAAAAAGCAGUAUGACUUCUGUCUGGUUCUCUCUGUCUCUCUCUUUAUCUCUCGGGAUAAUUGACUUGGGAACCCAAACACCAUGUUGUGAGGAAGUUCAGGCCAUAUGAAAAGGCCAUGUCAAGAUAUUCUGGGAAACACCUUUAGCUAGGCCCCCAGUUAAUAUGUCACACAUGUGAGUGAAUGACCCUUCCAAUAAUUUCGUCCCUCAGCCUUCAAAUUUUCUAGCAAAGACUCCAGAUAUCAUGUAGACAAACUAACCUUUAUGUGCCCUGUCUUAAUUCUUCACCCACAGAAAAUGUGAGCAAUAAUACAUGAUUUUUCUUGCUUCAGGCCGCUAAGGUUUGAGGUAAAGUUUUGCACGGUAAUAGAAAAUAAAUAGUGAUACCAUCUUACAUGGUCCUACAUAUCAACUUUUAAUGAAAAGAUAGCUCUUAUCACACUAUGUCAUCAUUCCAUUUACUUUAACUAUUGCAAGAUUGGGAAUUCUCAGAUGGCUAGGACCAUGCCAUCUCAACCUUUUCUCUUUGUUUUCCCAGUCCCAAGGGUGAACAGUGCUUUCUGGAGUUGCUCUUAUUUGCCUUUUCACAUCCUUAAUUCCUAG
rnacentral:lncRNA from 1 species